UGGAGAUGUCCUAACAAUGAGAUGUCCAA
rnacentral:piRNA from 1 species